UUUGACCUCAGCUCAGUCGUGAUU
rnacentral:rRNA from 1 species